UACAGAGGUCCCGAGCGUUGUUCGGAUUCACUGGGCGUAAAGGGUGCGUAGGUGGCCUGAAAAGUUUGAUGUGAAAGCUCAGGGCUUAACCCUGAAAUGGCAUUGAAUACUGUCGGGCUGGAGGUUUGGAGGGGGGACUGGAAUUCUUGGUGUAGCAGUGAAAUGCGUAGAUAUCAAGAGGAACACCAGUGGCGAAGGCGAGUCCCUGGACAACACCUGACACUGAGGCCCGAAAGCUAGGGGAGCAAACAGG
rnacentral:rRNA from 1 species